rnacentral:rRNA from 1 species
GACGUAGGGCGCAAGCGUUGUCCGGAUUUAUUGGGCGUAAAGAGCUCGUAGGCGGUUUGUUGCGUCGGCUGUGAAAUCCCGAGGCUCAACCUCGGGUCUGCAGUCGAUACGAGCAAACUAGAGUGUUGCAGGGGAGACUGGAAUUCCUGGUGUAGCGGUGAAAUGCGCAGAUAUCAGGAGGAACACCGGUGGCGAAGGCGGGUCUCUGGGCAACACUGACGCUGAGGAGCGAAAGCAUGGGGAGCGAACAGG